AAACAUUGAACAACAGCUACAAUAGUAGUCAGUGUGCAACAAGUAGCAGGUAGUGAAUUUGCAGAGUGAAAGCAGGCAGCACUAACCCUGUUUCCUGUUCCAGGGAGUUUCCUUUCUGAUGAGCUGCCCUCUGACUACGAUGAUGUGGAGGACAGUGAGGGGAACCCCAUCCCAGGUGAAUCGAUGCCCUCUCUGGAAGGAGAGACCCCAGGGCACUAUGACGAUGCCGUCCCUAUGAACAGUAACCCAGAAGAUUUAUCAGGGAGUUUUGAUUCUGAUGAACUUCCCUCUGGCUACUAUGAUGUGGAGAACAGUGAGGG